rnacentral:misc_RNA from 1 species
UGGUGUACCGAUGUCUCCUGGAUAAGGCGGAUACCAACCUGCAACGCCGCCGCCUUACUACACAACAAUAUACGCAACGACCAGUUACUACACCGAGGUUGCACAGUUUGGUUUACAGUUAAACCACCAAGGAUCCAGAUUAUUACACCACAACUUGUGCUGCUCCUCGAGCUACACUACCAAAGCGCUAGAGUACUACACCGGGGUCCUAAGUACUACACCACCAAGGCACCUAAGACAACGCAACUACGUAUGCUGCCCCAACCUACGACACCGAGGCUUCAGCUUAUUACACCACCAAAGUUGUCGAAUACUACACAGGAGCGCCCAAGUACGAUAGAAAUCAGUCGAGUGAGCUUCUCCGACACCCAACACGGCAGCCCCGAAGUUUCGAAUAAACUUCGCUUCAAACAGUGGAACGGCAAACAGUGAAGAAUUCUACUGCAAUCGCGUCGAAUUGAAUAGCAAAGAUAACACAUUCGUACGUGUACACCGCGCCGUUAAACUUGACAUGAUUGGUCGGAAAGCCAAACUUAACGAUGGCGGUACCAUAACCUACGACAAGUGCAUUAUUGCCACAGGUGGUAAACGAAAAUCUGUUCCAAUCCCUGAGUGGUGCCCUUAAAGAUGCCCACGAGCACGUAACGCUAUUCCGCAACAUCGAUGGCGGUAACAUAGGCUGAGUUCUCCCUAAAUACUUGAGCCAAUGGAUAACCGAGAAGGUGAAAGCGGAAAGUGUUAAUGUGUUGCCCAAAGCUAAUGUGGAGGGUGCAAUUUGGAAGACUACAAGGUCGCAUUGACCUUAAACGAUCGUCAAAAGCAGAUAUAAACCGAGUUGUCGCUGCUGUCAGUUGGGACGCAAACACGGAUUUGGCUGUCGCUUUUGGUUUGGAAAUAAAUUCCAAUUUUGUUGGUUAUUGAGUCAAUACCGAGCUUGAAGCACGAUCGAACGUCUGGUUGGCUGGAGAUGUUGCGUCUGUUUGUGAUAUCAAAUUGGGUCAUCGUCGUAUGGAACAUUAUCACUUUGCUGUUGUGUCAGGGCGAUUGCUGGAUAGAAGAAUACUGGCAACGAAACAUGGAUGAACAACUGCAGUGCACUGUCACCAAGUGCAUUCUUCGUCGUAUUAUCAGUACGCAAUCGGUUGAUGGUGAUGUCG